rnacentral:tRNA from 1 species
UAUUAAGUGACUGAAUAAUAAAGUAAUGGUCUCUUAAACCAACCCAUAGUAAUAAUUACUCUUAAUAA